rnacentral:piRNA from 1 species
UGUUGAUAAGUCAACCUGGACUUCUGGGCU